rnacentral:rRNA from 1 species
UACGUAGGGUGCGAGCGUUGUCCGGAAUUAUUGGGCGUAAAGGGCUCGUAGGCGGUCUGUUGCGUCAGGAGUGAAAACUCGGGGCUUAACCCCGAGCCUGCUUCUGAUACGGGCAGACUAGAGGUAUGCAGGGGAGAACGGAAUUCCUGGUGUAGCGGUGAAAUGCGCAGAUAUCAGGAGGAACACCAACGGCGAAGGCAGGUGACUGGACAUUUUGUGACGCUGAGGCGCGAAAGUGUGGGGAGCAAACCGGG